UCGAUUCGCAUGAAAGAUGUAAUAAUUUGGACAUUGUCUUGAAGAGAGGUUUGAUAAAAUAGACAUAUUCUUGAAGAGGUGGACUAUUUAUAUCUGCACAAACGACCCUACGAAGCUUCAUCGUUCCUUGGGAACUCUAUCUUGACUCCCCAUUUAACUCUAGUCACAUGUUCUUGACCUUUUACCUUCCGUGAGUCGGUGUUAAAUUUUCACGUACCAAUAUAUAAAGAGGGCAUAUGACAAUUCACAUGUCAAUUCCAUAACACGCAUUCUAUUGAAAGAGAGAGAGAAAGAUGGAAGGAAUUGUGCACAAGAUAGUGAACUUGAACGGCAUAAACAUGCACGUAGCUGAAAAAGGUAAGGGCCCAGUGGUAUUAUUCCUCCAUGGCUUCCCCGAGCUUUGGUACACAUGGCGCCACCAAAUCCUGGCCUUCGCCGCCUUAGGUUACCGGGCCGUCGCACCGGACCUCCGUGGCUUCGGCGACACCGAUGCUCCUUCAUCCAUCACCAGCUAUACCUGCCUCCAUGUGGUGGGUGAUAUUGUGGCGCUCAUAGGGUCUCUCGGCGUUAAUCAAGUGUUCUUGGUGGCGCACGACUGGGGUGCCAUGGUUGGCUGGUAUUUGUGCUUGUUUCGACCCGAUUUGAUCAAGGCAUUCGUCUCUUUAGCUGUGCCCUUCCGGCCGAGACAUCCCACAUUGAAGCCUACCGAGGGCAUGCUAGCUUUCUUUGGUGAUGAAUACUACAUGUGCAGAUUCCAGGAGCCUGGAAAGAUGGAAUCAGAAAUAGCUGAAUAUGGAGCUGCACCAGUGAUCAAGAAGAUCCUUACCGGUCGGAAACCCGGUCCUCCCAUCUUACCCAAACAAAAUCCGUUCGGAAAUCUCCGUGAUAUAGAUAAUAUCAAAUUACCCACUUGGUUUUCGGAAGAAGACCUCAAAUAUUAUGCUAGUAAAUAUAACCACAAUGGCUUCGGCGGAGGAUUGAACUAUUACCGUGCACUUGAUCUGUAUGCACUAAUUUCAUAUGGCAUGUUUGGUACGAAGGACUAAUAGCUCUCCACAGCACUACUCGUGUCGACUACAAUGUUCAUUAUACUAUUUAGAUUUGAUCUCCUCCCUUUGGCCCUCUGUAGGCAGGAUAAAAACUUCUCAUUAUUGAUGUGAUGCAGAGCCCCGUAAGUAUGAUUCUCCAAAUGUAAAAAUGUUGCAGAUAACUUUAAGGUUCUGCCGCUGCGUCAGCAAUGGGAAGUUUUUAUCCCGUCCAUUGUGGGUAGAGUCAGAAAUUGGGAACUAACUGCAGCAUGGACAGGAGUACAGAUAAAAAUUCCUGUUAAACUCAUUGUGGGGGAUCUGGAUAUGGUGUACACUACUCCAGGGAUGAAGGAAUAUGUACAUGGAGGUGGGUUCAAAAAUGAUGUGCCAUUAUUAAAGGAAUGCGUCGUGAUUCAAGGAGCCGGUCACUUCAUCAACCAAGAGAGAGC